GACGAACGCUGGCGGCGUGCUUAACACAUGCAAGUGGAGCGACGAACCGGGCUUCGGCCCGGGGCAAAGCCGCGAACGGGUGAGUAACACGUGGGUUACCUGCCCCGAUGACUGGGACAACCCGGGGAAACCCGGGCUAAUACCGGAUGUGCCCUAAGGGGGAAAGGAAGCUUCGGCCUCCGCAUCGGGAUGGGCCCGCGGCCCAUUAGCUUGUUGGUGAGGGUAACGGCCCACCAAGGCUUCGAUGGGUAGCUGGUCUGAGGGGACGAUCAGCCACACUGGGACUGAGACACGGCCCAGACUCCUACGGGAGGCAGCAGUGGGGAAUCUUGCGCAAUGCGCGAAAGCGUGACGCAGCAACGCCGCGUGGGGGAAGACGGCC
rnacentral:rRNA from 1 species